CAGUAGCCGCGGUAAUACGGAGGGUGCAAGCGUUAAUCGGAAUUACUGGGCGUAAAGCGCACGCAGGCGGUCUGUCAAGUCAGAUGUGAAAUCCCCGGGCUUAACCUGGGAACUGCAUUUGAAACUGGCAGGCUAGAGUCUUGUAGAGGGGGGUAGAAUUCCAGGUGUAGCGGUGAAAUGCGUAGAGAUCUGGAGGAAUACCGGUGGCGAAGGCGGCCCCCUGGACAAAGACUGACGCUCAGGUGCGAAAGCGUGGGGAGCAAACAGGAUUAGAUACCCCGGUAGUCCCUGUCUCUUAUAU
rnacentral:rRNA from 1 species